UAUUCUUUUCCACUGAUUUUAUAUUAAUCAUGAUGGUCUUUUUCCUUCCUAUUUCAAUCCUAAUCUGUCUUUAUAAAAGCUUUUUAAAUUUAUUCAACUUUAUAACUACCUCUUUAUUGCUAGUCUGCAGACAUGGAGGUACAGCCUGUGUAUUUGCAGAUGCUUUGGGAAUACAUACUCUACACAUAUAGAUGAGGUUUUUUAUUGGACCAUUGAUAUAUUCUUACAGAUAAAACAUUCCUAUACCUGUAGUGUGAUGAAACAGUAUCAUCUGGCUUCCCCAACAUAUGAUACACUUUUUUUAAACCCCAAAAUGUUCUGAUCUAUUCUCUUUAGUCAGCAAGAAUUUUUAGUUUUUUGAAACUCUUAGUUUAGAAAUUUUUUAGAAGAUUUAACUGAGCUCUCUAUAAGGUUUCACUGUAAUUCCGGAUGCUUUAUUUGUUUUUACGUUGAAGUAAGAAAGAAUAGCUCCACUUGCGCAGGAAAAAUUAUUCUUUUUCUGCUUUUUCCUGGGAGAAUAAACUGAUUAGGGGAAACUUUCAUCUGUUAUCUUUCCUUUCAUCCAGGAUCGACAGAAAUUUAAUUUUUUUGAGGUUUCUUAAAUAAUUUUAAAAUGAGGGAGGGAUAAAUUUAGAUUUGCAUGUCCUUACUUGGAUGUUUUUCAGGGCAGUCUUCACAGGGCAGUAUGUGAAAGUUUUCCGCCUUGCUCAGGAUUCUGCCUGUGACUUAGGGAGCUGUUUUCAGGAAGGUCUUCAACUCACUCGACUUGUUUAAUCCUAAUCUUUCCCAGAGGAGAAGCGAUGCUGACGGGCUCCCUGUCCCUCCACGCAGCGCUGCAGAGAGCAUCCUGCCUGCGGCCGCGUGGUUGUGGAACUCACGCUGAAGGUUUAAAAGCUGUGUUCAGUCUUCCCUGCUCCGCAGUUACUCACCGAGUGGGCUGCUGGGCGAGUGGGCUGUUGCUGGGCAAGCGGGUGGGCGAGUGGGCUGCUGGGCGAGUGGGUGGGCUGGCCGGCAGAUGGAGGGAGGCGUGGGCGGCACAGCGCUCAGCACCCAAGGGCACCGCGCCAGCCUCACGUCUGCCCGGGAAACCGGGCUGCAACCGGCUGGCAACCAUGCCCCAAACCGAAAAAUCCGUUCUACAACCUCGUUUGCAAGAGAAGAAGGAUCUUGAUUCAAGUGUUUAUGUGUUUAAUUUUUUCUCAUCCGUAUAGGUGGUCAUUGGACGUGUCUGGGAAGGAGAAAUAUUUUGGUCUUGCGUCAUUCGGGUUGUGCUCUUGCAUGGUUACAAGAGCCCCCAACAGGAUAUUUCUGGACUGCUUCUCAGUAAUGUCUGGCUGAACUUGUUUCCAUGCUUCUGGAGAAAGUCCAGGACGGCAGAGAGCUCCUGGGGACAGGUACUGGCAGGCUGCUGCGAUCUGAGGCACUGUCUGUCCUAGGAAGAAAAUGGUUAAUUAAAAAUCACAUCCUGUGCUUCACAACAGUUUUGCCUUACUGAAAGACUUGACCCAAAUAAUAAUGAAAACUAACUGAAAAACAUUAAGUUUUAUAAUUCUUGUGAGGUAUAAAAACAAUGCCAGUUUAUAAAAAACACAAUUUCCAGUAAAAUAAACAAAAAAAGGAUUGCUAAUAA